GGUAGCGGAAGUAGGUAUACCCUAUAAACGACACCAGGAAGGCCGCGAGCCACCUCUGGGUCACGCCCCCUCUUCCUUUACAUGGCCGCAAGGGGCGGUACCGGCUGCUCGCCCACCGUGGGGGGCGGAGUCUUAUGCAAAUCGACCCCGUAAACGUAAAUAGAAUAGCCUGAGGAAAGCUUGAUCUCUGUGUGGGUGGGGGGUGGUGCGUGCGCUCAUGGCGUAGAGACGCUGUGCUGAUGUGUCAUCGGUCGCCUUCCUUUCCCCCGACAUUACGCGUGCAAGUCUGAGAGCACCUCACAUGCCUGGUGGGAAAGGGGAGCGUGGCUGGUGGCACUCCUCUCUGACACCUUGUAAGGAAUGGAAUGCGGGGGUGGGGCCGUCGCGGUCUCAACCCGGUCACCCCCUCUAGGAAAACCAGCGGGGGUGGGUUAGAACUCAAUCCCGGAGUCGGAAAGUAUAGUAACGGCUGAUGCAGCCGCUCUCGUCCACAAAAAGGUGGGGGCUGGCCUGCCUCAAGCGCCUUUCCUGGGGGAAGAGAGGGACCCCUGUCUUUUGCUGGAGCUCCGCGAGAGUUGAGGGCCGCUGGGAGGCAGCAGAGGCGCCUCGGAGGGCAGGUGCUUAUGGGUGGCUCCAUGUGGGGUCGAGUGGCCUGGCCUGGGCUCUUGCCUCAGAGGCGGGCUGAAAUGGGCGAAGCUAGGGUGUUGCUGUUGGGGUGCUGCUCUUCUGGAGCAAGAUCUGGAGUGGCUGAACCCACGCGUUCCUGCAACAAGUCCUUGAGGCAGCUCAGUAAGGUCCAGCUUGGAACCGCUCUGGUAGCCCAAGAUGAAGGGCUCCGUAACAUGACCCGCGGUGAGUAAAUUGAACGCUACUAACGCGUUGUGUUUGCCCUGAUGUUAAAAAAGUCUGUAAAAAGGCUGGUGUUGGCCAUCUGUCCCGGUUAAUUUUUUUGCAAGUGGUGCAGUGCAUAAUGCUCGCAGUUGCUGCAGAGCAUGAAGUGACAAGUAUUCUUUUUAUUUUUCAGAAUUCAUUAAAAAGCAUAGCGAUAUAUGGGAUCAUACCGACUCCUUAAAUCAAAUGCCCUUCCUGAAAAAAAGAAAAAGCUGAUUACCCACAGUAGCCGCAGGCUGAGAAUAUAAGACUCUUGCAUAUAGCAACUUGCAGUUGAAAACACUUAUUUAUCUUGCUUGAAUUUAACAAUGAACAGUACUUGAUAGUAUACGAUGCAGAAGCUGUGAUUUGAGUCCCUAGUUGCUUCAUUCACGUGGAUUAGUUUACCCAGAUAGACUACAUUUUCUAUGAUGUAAUGCAAGUGUUCAUCUGGUGUUAAUUAUCCGAGGCUCACCCUGCACCCUGGUAACUCUGUAGCAGGGAAAGCCUGGGACAAUAGCAUGAACUAGGGUAAAAGAUACAAAAGAAGCUCUUUUCUCCCUGUGAGGUUCCGUGGUUUAUUUCUUCAUGGCGUCCAGGAGGCAAAGAAGAAGAUCUCCAAGGACAGGGGUCUUUUCUAGGGUCAGGAAGAGGCGGGGGGGGGGGGGGGGAAUUGGCAUCCUGCCAAUAGGACAAAGGCAGAGGGGAUAGGGUCAGACCAUAGGUAUUACAGGGAUCACAAGAAUCAAGGGACAUACCAUUCUUGAUACAUCUUGGAUAGUGGAUUACAACAAUCUGGGAAAUGCAUAGUUGGGAGAUGGCUCCAUCAGUGAAAUCAGCGAAAUAAUGUCAAGUGUAUCAGGUGUAAGAUCUAAAUACAAAUAACAUCAAGUUGACUUGAAACUUGAUAUCUAGUUUUUGUUUUCACCAAAACCUGAGACUACACCAAUAGUUUAUUAUUUUAACAGGUGUUUAAAGAGCUUUGCAGAAACUCUUUUCCAUUAAAACUGAACGGGAAAUUCAAUUAACUGUAUAAGAUUUGUAGACUGGGUUUUAAAAAAAGAUCAACAGAAAACCUGAAGAUGGUUUAAAAUAUGCAAGUAUUUGCUUUUCCACAUACUGCUAAGCUCAUAGACAGUAGCAUUGAUUUUUCAUUUCAUAGGUGAAGAAUCUUUUUACAUCUAGGUAAAGAACUUAUUUUUCUGCUGACAGUUACUUAUAUUAAGAAAAUGGCUUAUGGUUUUUAAUCAAGGAGUUUAAAUUGUAGACUAUAUAUAGGGACUCAACUGUGUUCUGCAGAGUUCAUUUUCUGUAUAUGCUAUAAGGUGGUGGUUUUUUUGGGAUCAUGAGCUCUACCUUCUGAACAGGAAAUGAGUAUAAACUGAUUCUUGUGUUUCUGGGUAUAGACAGUACAAAACAGUUACUCUUGAGGUACCAGUUGUGUAAGUUCACAGAUACCUUGCUGAGAUAUUAACUUACAUUUUCAUCAUUUUGGUUAUAUACUUUAGAAGUGAUCUCCUGGAUUUAUAACCUAAUUCCUACUAAAUUUUGGAGAUAUUUGAGAGCCUGAAUACUACAGACAAGAGAUAAGGAUGAAGCACUUUAUUUUACUAUUAAUAUGGUAUUGAUUUCAGUAUUUCUGAGAGCAGAUAAAU
rnacentral:lncRNA from 1 species